rnacentral:rRNA from 1 species
ACUCCUGCGGGAGGCAGCAGUGGGGAAUAUUGGACAAUGGGCGCAAGCCUGAUCCAGCCAUGCCGCGUGAGUGAUGAAGGCCCUAGGGUUGUAAAGCUCUUUCACCGGUGAAGAUAAUGACGGUAACCGGAGAAGAAGCCCCGGCUAACUUCGUGCCAGCAGCCGCGGUAAUACGAAGGGGGCUAGCGUUGUUCGGAUUUACUGGGCGUAAAGCGCACGUAGGCGGACUAUUAAGUCAGGGGUGAAAUCCCGGGGCUCAACCCCGGAACUGCCUUUGAUACUGGUAGUCUUGAGUUCGAGAGAGGUGAGUGGAAUUCCGAGUGUAGAGGUGAAAUUCGUAGAUAUUCGGAGGAACACCAGUGGCGAAGGCGGCUCACUGGCUCGAUACUGACGCUGAGGUGCGAAAGCGUGGGGAGCAAACAGGAUGAGAAACCCCAGUAGUCCCAUGA